GAUGAACGCUGGCGGCGUGCCUAAUACAUGCAAGUCGAACGAAACUUCUUUAUCACCGAGUGCUUGCACUCACCGAUAAAGAGUUGAGUGGCGAACGGGUGAGUAACACGUGGGCAACCUGCCCCAAAGAGGGGGAUAACACUUGGAAACAGGUGCUAAUACCGCAUAACCAUAGUUACCGCAUGGUAACUAUGUAAAAGGUGGCUAUACUACCGCUUUUGGAUGGGCCCGCGGCGCAUUAGCUAGUUGGUAGGGUAAAGGCUUACCAAGGCAAUGAUGCGUAGCCGAAUUGAGAGGUUGAUCGGCCACAUGGGGACUGAGACACGGCCCAAACUCCUACGGGAGGCAGCAGUAGGGAAUCUUCCACAAUGGGCGAAAGCCUGAUGGAGCAACGCCGCGUGGGUGAAGAAGGUCUUCGGAUCGUAAAACCCUGUUGUUAGAGAAGAAAGUGCGUGAGAGUAACUGUUCACGUUUCGACGGUAUCUAACCAGAAAGCCACGGCUAACUACGUG
rnacentral:rRNA from 1 species